AAACGUCAUCACUUUGCAGUACUGAUCAAAAAAUAAAAGAUCUAUUUCCUCAUACAUGUACUGCUGUCUUUUAUGUACCACCAGUCUCUUUGAGAUCAUCAGUCACAGGAAAAUGUAUUCCUGCUAGAGGAAAGUUAACUGAUAAAAUAAAAAUAAAUUAAAACCGAGGAAAGCAUAAUUUAAAAAGGAAGAGUGCAGAAUUAAGAAAUACUAAUGAAAAGAAACAGAAAUUGGAACAGUUAAGAAUUGAGCACGAGGAGAGUUUGAAUUGGUUAAAUCGUAAUCGGUCGCCAUGGAGUGAUGUCGAAGCCAAAUGGAAAACUACAUUUGAAAUAAGGAGAGCGUCCCCUUAUUCAACUGUUGAUGAAUUUUUAAAGGACUGGACUAUAUUCAAUGAUUCUAGAAGUACUGCUCUGAUUUUAAUAGAUUUUGAAACUAUGUACCCAGAAAAAGAAGUGAAUUUUUUGAAUAAUUGAGUAGCUUCUUUUCAACAAUGAAAGUACUCCGCAGUGAUAAAUACGAAAAGAUAGUACUAUUGCAGAAUAUAAACAGAUUUUAAAUAAUAUUGAUGAUGAAAAU